UUAGUGUGUAAUGGGGCUAUGAGCCUCCA
rnacentral:sRNA from 1 species